UUUGAACGCUGGCGGCAGGCCUAACACAUGCAAGUCGAACGGUAACAGGAAGAAGCUUGCUUCUUUGCUGACGAGUGGCGGACGGGUGAGUAAUGUCUGGGAAACUGCCUGAUGGAGGGGGAUAACUACUGGAAACGGUAGCUAAUACCGCAUAACGUCGCAAGACCAAAAAGGGGGACCUUCGGGCCUCUUGCCAUCGGAUGUGCCCAGAUGGGAUUAGCUAGUAGGUGGGGUAACGGCUCACCUAGGCGACGAUCCCUAGCUGGUCUGAGAGGAUGACCAGCCACACUGGAACUGAGACACGGUCCAGACUCCUACGGGAGGCAGCAGUGGGGAAUAUUGCACAAUGGGCGCAAGCCUGAUGCAGCCAUGCCGCGUGUAUGAAGAAGGCCUUCGGGUUGUAAAGUACUUUCAGCGGGGAGGAAGGGAGUAAAGUUAAUACCUUUGCUCAUUGACGUUACCCGCAGAAGAAGCACCGGCUAACUCCGUG
rnacentral:rRNA from 1 species